rnacentral:rRNA from 1 species
AUUGAACGCUGGCGGCAGGCUUAACACAUGCAAGUCGAGCGGAGAUGAGGUGCUUGCACCUUAUCUUAGCGGCGGACGGGUGAGUAAUGCUUAGGAAUCUGCCUAUUAGUGGGGGACAACAUUCCGAAAGGAAUGCUAAUACCGCAUACGUCCUACGGGAGAAAGCAGGGGACCUUCGGGCCUUGCGCUAAUAGAUGAGCCUAAGUCGGAUUAGCUAGUUGGUGGGGUAAAGGCCUACCAAGGCGACGAUCUGUAGCGGGUCUGAGAGGAUGAGCCGCCACACUGGGACUGGGACACGGCCCAGACUCCUACGGGAGGCAGCAGUGGGGAAUAUUGGACAAUGGGCGGAAGCCUGAUCCAGCCAUGCCGCGUGUGUGAAGAAGGCCUUUUGGUUGUAAAGCACUUUAAGCGAGGAGGAGGCUACCGAGAUUAAUACUCUUGGAUAGUGGACGUUACUCGCAGAAUAAGCACCGGCUAACUCUGUGCCAGCCGCCGCCGUAAUAC